rnacentral:rRNA from 1 species
UACGUAGGCAGCAAGCGUUGUUCGGAAUUAUUGGGCGUAAAGAGUGUGUAGGCGGUGUUCCAAGUCUGUUGUGAAAUCUCCCGGCUUAACUGGGAGGGUGCGGCGGAAACUGGAAUGCUAGAGGGUGGGAGAGGUAAGCGGAAUUCCUGGUGUAGCGGUGAAAUGCGUAGAUAUCAGGAGGAACACCUGUGGUGUAGACAGCUUACUGGACCACUUCUGACGCUGAGACACGAAAGCGUGGGUAGCAAACAGG